AAUGCCGCGUGUGUGAAGAAGGCCUGCGGGUUGUAAAGCACUUUCAGCAGGGAAGACGGUGAUCGGCGCUAAUAUCGCCGAGAGCUGACGUUACCUGCAGAAGAAGCACCGGCUAACUCCGUGCCAGCCCCUUCGGUGACUGAGCGGGCUGGCAAGGCGCAUA
rnacentral:rRNA from 1 species